rnacentral:lncRNA from 1 species
CGGGCGCAACGAAGGUUCGAGGAAUAAGGAAAUCCUCUUUUUCAUCUUGGAUUACCUGUUGCUUCGACUCCAUCGAGGUUGGGGGAUGUUAUUGUUAUUUAGCUGCCUGCUUUCCUUUGGUGCUUGAUUUCUCUAAGGUCAGGCGCUGGUACCCACACCAGUUCUUCGAUUGCAAACAUCUCUUUUGUAGAAUGCUGCUCUCCGUAGACUGUUUUCAGUCCUUCUUCUAUUGGGAACUUCAUCAUCUAGUGAAGAGUUGAAGGCACUGCCUU